rnacentral:rRNA from 1 species
UACGUAGGGUGCGAGCGUUAAUCGGAAUUACUGGGCGUAAAGUGUGCGCAGGCGGCACCGCAAGUCGAGUGUGAAAGCCCCGGGCUUAACUUGGGAAUUGCGCUCGAAACUAUGGUGCUGGAGUGUGGCAGAGGAAGGUGGAAUUCCAGGUGUAGCGGUGAAAUGCGUAGAGAUCUGGAGGAACACCGAUGGCGAAGGCAGCCUUCUGGGCCAACACU